UGAAGAACGCAGCCAGCUGCGAUAAAUAGUGCGAAUUGCAGACACAUUGAGCACUAAGAAUUCGAACGCACAUUGCGCUAUCGGGUUCAUUCCCGAUGGCACGUCUGGCUGAGGGUCGAAUUGUGCUAGAGCAUCUUUGCAAUCACUUC
rnacentral:rRNA from 3 species